rnacentral:lncRNA from 1 species
CUCUACAAUACAUGACAACUCAAAAAAAAUGUUGAGUUGUUUGGAUGACCAAAUUUCUUGGUUGCAGGCAUUAGGUCAAUAGUUGUGUUGUUUCCUGUAAAAACAGCAAGGCUUACCCUGGCAUGGUGUUUUGAUAACCUCACAAAUCUCUCUCGGACAAGAAGCAAAGAUGGUUCUGUGCUAUGUACUGGAUUGUAACCACCACUCCGUGCAUUUUAUCGUUUUUGACCUCUGUAAGCGAGAGUCGUUGCUGGAGCUGUGUGACAAGAGUCAGAGAAUGCCCCUGGCAUCAUGUCUGCAAGAAGGAGUACUCUUAGUCAUCCAAUCAAGUGUGUCCCUGAAAAGGCUAUGGGCAUGUGUGGCCCUUCACCUACCUGUCCUCCACGGAUGAAGCUCAUGAGCCAAACGCAAGAUACAUGCCUCCCGCUUUUGCUGGCACACCCCUCCCUUCUGGCAACUACCAACAUGGAUGGUUGUGGCAGGGGACAACAACCUCAAGAGCCAGGGAGACCCUCUUGUGCCAGGGCGGCAUGGCUUAAAGGACGUCUUGUGCCAAGGCAGGAAGACAUGGUUAGGAGAGAACAACAACCCAAGGCCACACAUUCAUGCAGAAUAGGCCUUUCUUUGGACUGCUCACACAAACUCCUUGAGGGACACACAGACUCAGUAAUUUGUGUGCACAGUGAACCAAAGUACUACAUUUGUACUAAAAUGUAGAGUUUUAAUCUUGUUAAUAAAAUGAAACCUGAU